UGUGAACUCGAAGAGUAGGGCGGGACACGUGGUAUCCUGUCUGAAUAUGGGGGGACCAUCCUCCAAGGCUAAAUACUCCUGACUGACCGAUAGUGAACCAGUACCGUGAGGGAAAGGCGAAAAGAACCCCGGCGAGGGGAGUGAAAAAGAACCUGAAACCGUGUACGUACAAGCAGUGGGAGCACCUUCGGGUGUGACUGCGUACCUUU
rnacentral:rRNA from 1 species